AAAAGUUAAUAAUCAAAAUGGAAGACUAUUAGUGAACUUAUGUAGGGGCCAGUACCAACAGAACUAGAUAAGAAGGUGUUGACACCNCAGUACCAACAGAACUAGAUAAGAAGGUGUUGACACCUUUUUUUUUUUGCUAAAUGUGUUGACACCUUUGAUAUCAAAUACAUUAUAUCAGGUGUAUUAAGAUCAAUUAGUAUUUAUAUCAAUUUAAUAAAGUCUAUAUCUUCAUCUACAAGACUUAGCCUAGCGGUUAUCCCUCAUUCUUAGUUACCAAAGGUCUAGAUUCAAGCCUCAGAGGAGAUGUGUGCGAGAGUAUUUAAAUUUUUAGUAAUUGAUGUUGGUUUGGGUUGCGGUAACCUUGUAGUUUAGAGAAAUAACACAAGUACAUUUAGUUUCAUCAAAAAGACAUAGGUUAUAGGCUCAACAGGUAAUAUAAGUGUCCUCAUACUCGAGUACUGACAAAAGGAUAUAAUUGAAUGAACAUAGCUCGCAUGUAACCUU
rnacentral:lncRNA from 1 species